rnacentral:rRNA from 1 species
GUCGGAGCUGACAGAAGCUCGAUGUCUGAUUAGCUAGUUGGUGAGGUAAAGGCUUACCAAGGCUACGAUCAGUAGCUGGUCUGAGAGGACGACCAGCCACACUGGGACUGAGACACGGCCCAGACUCCUACGGGAGGCAGCAGUGGGGAAUUUUGGACAAUGGGGGAAACCCUGAUCCAGCCAUGCCGCGUGAGUGAAGAAGGCCUUCGGGUUGUAAAGCUCUUUCAGCCGGAACGAAAAGGUUACGGUUAAUACCCGUGACUAAUGACGGUACCGGCAAGAAGAAGCACCGGCUAACUACGUGCCAGCAGCCGCGGUAAUACGUAGGGUGCGAGCGUUAAUCGGAAUUACUGGGCGUAAAGCGUGCGCAGGCGGUUUUGUAAGUCAGAUGUGAAAUCCCCGGGCUCAACCUGGGAACUGCGUUUGAACUA